CAAUAGCGUAUAUUAAAGCUGUUGCGGUUAAAAAGCUCGUAGUUGGAUUUCUGUCAAGGACAACUGGUCCGCCCUCCGGGUGAGCACAUAGUUUGGUCUUGGCAUCUUGCUGGAAACUGUUGCUGCGCUUGGUUGUGUGGUGCAGCUUUCAGCACUUUCACUUUGAGGAAAUUGGAGUGUUUCAAGCAGGCACAUGCCUUUGGACACAGUAGCAUGGAAUAAUUAGAUUGGGCUUUUGCUCCAACUUGUUGGUUCCUGGAGCUGAGGUGAGAAUCAAUGGGGAUUGUUGGGGGCAUCCGAAUUCAGCCGUCAGAGGUGAAAUUCUUGGAUCUGCUAAAGACGGACAACUGCGAAAGCGUUUGCCCAGGAUGUUUUCAUUGA
rnacentral:rRNA from 1 species